rnacentral:rRNA from 1 species
AUUGAACGCUGGCUGCACGCUUAACACAUGCAAGUCGAACGGUAACAGUCGGAGCUUGCUCCGAGCUGACGAGUGGCGAACGGGUGAGUAAUGCAUAGGCACCUGCCCUGAAGCGGGGGAUAACCUGGGGAAACUCAGACUAAUACCGCGUAAUCUCUACGGAGCAAAGCCUGGGACCUUCGGGCCAGGCGCUUUAGGAUGGGCCUAUGUCAGAUUAGCUAGUUGGUGGGGUAAUGGCUCACCAAGGCGACGAUCUGUAGCUGGUCUGAGAGGAUGGUCAGCCACACUGGGACUGAGACACGGCCCAGACUCCUACGGGAGGCAGCAGUGGGGAAUAUUGGACAAUGGGGGCAACCCUGAUCCAGCGAUGCAGCGUGUGUGAAGAAGGCCUGCGGGUUUGUAAAGCACUUUCAGCGGUGAGGAAAGGGUUUGCGUUAAUAGCGUAGACUUGUGACGUUAACCGCAGAAGAAGCACC